UCGGGAAUUUUGGGCAAUGGGCGAAAGCCUGACCCAGCAACGCCGCGUGAGGGAUGAAGUAUUUCGGUAUGUAAACCUCGAAAGAAUGGGAAGAAUAAAUGACGGUACCAUUUAUAAGCUCCGGCUAACUACGUGCCAGCAGCCGCGGUAAUACGUAGGGGGCAAGCGUUGUCCGGAUUUACUGGGUGUAAAGGGCGCGCAGGCGGGAUAAAAAGUCAGUGGUGAAAUCCUACAGCUUAACCGUAGAACUGCCUUUGAUACUUUUAUUCUUGAGUUCGGGAGAGAGAGACGGAAUUCCAGGUGUAGUGGUGAAAUACGUAGAUAUCUGGAAGAACACCAGUUACGAAGGCGGUCUCUUGGUCCGACACUGACGCUGAGGCGCGAAAGCGUGGGGAGCAAACA
rnacentral:rRNA from 1 species